rnacentral:lncRNA from 1 species
CAUUUCCUAAUAAUCUUCUCAACUAUUUUACUUUCAGUAUCCUUUUUAUUUUAACUUUCAGCUUUCCUUGCUGCUUCAAUCAUCUCCAGUAAUAUUUAAGAUCUCUGAUAGCUAAUGGUAAAUCUGAGAACAUUUUCUGGAUUUGAGCCAAUCAUAAUAUCUUUAAAUAAUAUUUAUAUAUUGCAAGCUUGCCAGCUACUUGCCAGGGCAUAACAAAAGAUAAAUAUACACUCCUCUACUACCACCACUAAAAGAAGCCAAGUCAUCUGACUGCUAGUGACCUAAUUUUUGCAUAGCUGUUUGUAAUUCUCAUCAUCAUGUUAUGGCGAUAUAAUUUAUUAAUCCUUCUGGCAUUUUUCUCCUUGACAGCUUCUCAGUUGCUGUUACAUUCUACUUGGAUGGCUGUAAAAUGGAAUAAUGUUCACCCUGCUGUGAGCCCAGAUAUGUGAGACUUUCGGCUGUAAAUAGCUACUAUAUUGAAGAUGAGGAUUUCAUUUCAUAAUUGCCACAAACUGUAAGUGUGAAUUAAUAGUAUCCUCUAUAAAGUAACAUUAAAAUCUCCUGACUUGUU